rnacentral:rRNA from 1 species
AGUGAACGCUGGCGGUAGGCCUAACACAUGCAAGUCGAACGGCAGCACAGUAAGAGCUUGCUCUUACGGGUGGCGAGUGGCGGACGGGUGAGGAAUACAUCGGAAUCUACUUUUUCGUGGGGGAUAACGUAGGGAAACUUACGCUAAUACCGCAUACGACCUACGGGUGAAAGCAGGGGAUCUUCGGACCUUGCGCGAUUGAAUGAGCCGAUGUCGGAUUAGCUAGUUGGCGGGGUAAAGGCCCACCAAGGCGACGAUCCGUAGCUGGUCUGAGAGGAUGAUCAGCCACACUGGAACUGAGACACGGUCCAGACUCCUACGGGAGGCAGCAGUGGGGAAUAUUGGACAAUGGGCGGAAGCCUGAUCCAGCCAUACCGCGUGGGUGAAGAAGGCCUUCGGGUUGCAAAGCCCUUUUGUUGGGAAAGAAAAGCAGCAGGUUAAUACCCCGCUGUUCUGACGGUACCCAAAGAAUAAGCACCGGCUAACUUCGUG